rnacentral:lncRNA from 1 species
UUUGCGUUAACACGCUUCUAACCAAACAGCUCGGAGAUUUGAUGGUACCGAGGAGAAUCAUGUAAAUCUUGAUGGCAUUGGUCAAUCAAUUGCAAUGUUUAUCAUUUUCGGGGAGAAUUAGCUUUAUUCCUUUUGCCUCACCACCGCCGGUUGUCCAAUUUGCAAUUUGCUUGCCCCUCUCCAAUUUGCAAAAACUUGAGCCACUCGGUUAAUACCCCUCCAAUUGCUUGGUUAUACCUCCUCAAAAACUAGUGGAAAAAUGAAAAAAGGGAAAUAGAUAAACAAGGGCAUCAGUAGUAACAAUUUGUUCAAUUGAACAACAAAGUGUUUUCUAAAAGAAAGAAAGAAAGAAAUAUGCUGUAGCAACAAAUUGUUCAAUUGAACAACAAAGUGUUUUCUAAAAGAAAGAAAGAAAGAAAUAUGCUGUAGCAACAAAUCAGAGGUUGAUGAAAUUGUCAAUGCCGGCAGUUCUGAGAGUUAACUCACGCAUUCGAGAUGUUGACACCCAUCAAACCAUGGGCAUGUUCGCUUCAGCUUAUAAGCUGGCUGAAAAGUUGAAACGGCUGAUUUGUUGUGAGAGGAAAACACUGUUUGGUGGCUGAUAAGCCGGCUGAAUAAGCUGAAGCGAACAAGCUGCAUGUUUCAAAUCUGACAGUGGGACGGUUGGGAAGUGUCAUGAUGGCAUCACUAAUGGCACUAAAAAACACACAUCUGACAGAGUUAUCAUUGACAUAAACUGUGACCUCAACCUUGCUGAGAGCGGAGAGGUGCUGGAUGCCUAAACUAGAAGCAACAUACUAGAUUACUAGCACCCCAUCUUAUUAUGGGAAGGGAACAUGAGAUCAAGAUUUGGCAUUGAUCCGACUUGAAACUCCAGCGCGGUCCCACAAUAACAAAUGCGCAGGGAGAAAUAUUUUAGACUUCUGAAUCCGUUAUUGCCACGGACAAUGAUCCUCCCUUUGGUGCCUCCGGCAGUUUUUAGUUCGAGAAACAAUAAACUGGGUAUUGCUCCAAGGAUCUCACCAUCCUCUGGUCUCAAACAGAUGAUGGUCAGUUUUAGCACCACGAGGGGAGCCCAUCCAAUUUGGAACCUUGUAGCAGGGACAACCUUCUAUGCAGAGGGAGACCACCCAAAAUAACCCGAUGGUAACAACGCAAACCAAUCUACCGGCACAGCCUCAAAAGUUAGAAACCACCACCGACCAUUUUAGCAAAGAUCCACAUUCAACCACGCAGGCGGAGGACCAAGUGCAGGGUGCAACCAUCUUGGAUAUUGCAAUCAGCCACUGUGCACUCAUUCUCGAGCUGCUUGCCUGCAAAGAUGACCCGCUGCUGGUCCACUGGAAUUCCCUCCUUAUCUUCAAUCUUGGUCUUCACCUUGUGGAUUGUGUCUGACUGCUCAACAUCCAACGUCAUAAGCCUGCCAUAGAGGGUCCUAACAAAAGAUCCGCAUGCCACCACGUAGGCGCAAGACAAGGUGCAGGGUGGACUAUAUAUUGCCGCCCAUCCUUCACCCAUGAUAAACUGAAUGGAUGAGCCAGAAAUUGGCGUUCAUCCAAACAACAGCCCAUGCAAACCGUAAAUGCCAUCCUUUUUGCAGGGUGGACUGAGGAAGUGAGGAUUCGUUCCAGCUUCGAUCUAAACAAACCCUUAGUUACAGAGAAGGUAAGCAUGAUCAUUGUAGAAGUAGCCAUAUAUGAGAUAAUCUAUAAUCUAUAAGUAGAUAAAUGAACAUGAAGGUGAACCAAGCACCCUGGAUCACACCGAUUGGAACGUAUAAACAUAUGGACUAAUCAGGAUAUUAAUCACCCCAAGGAAUGUUCUGAGUCUGCUCAAUCUACAAGUAACUUUUUCAAGAACGUGCAAUGCACGUCUUUUAAUUAUUAAAAGAAACGCUAUGAGUAACUUAAUCAGAACCAUGUGAGUCAAUCAGGUAAAAGACCACACUGACACUGGAAGGCAGGAACCCACUCUGAAGACCAACUAGUUUAACAGAAAUGAUACAAAGUGCUGUACAUCUCCUUGACUAGAAAUCAAGAUGAUGUAUUCCAUUGCAGAAAAGUUUAGCCCACCUUCUGAACAGCGAUCAAAAUUUCAGGUACUUCACUACUAUGUAUUUACGAAGCAUCCUACCCUAACAUACCUGAACUCAAAAUGCCCCAAAAACAAACACUGUACUAAUCCAACAUAUACUGUAUGUCCGAAAUCAUACACCAACACAUCGAAUCUAUGGACCAAACGCAGAAAACCACCAGGAUUUUGGACCAAAUGCAGAAAAUUUUUGAACACGGAGCAAAUAUUAGCCAACUAGUUUCACAUACCGAAUGAGAGUGCGGGGAGAGUAGAGUAGGAUUGGGGUACCUUAAGAAGGGGAUUAGAGGAAGAUUCUCGAUUGGUGCUUCGAUUCAUUAUUAAUCUGCUAUUGUUUCUGCCGGUCUCUACACGAACCAGAGGAGAAGAACAUAACAGCUGCGGCGUUUCAGUUGGACCGGGCCAUCCGG